rnacentral:rRNA from 1 species
UACGUAGGUGGCAAGCGUUGUCCGGAAUUAUUGAGCGUAAAGCGCGCGCAGGCGGUCCUUUAAGUCUGAUGUGAAAGCCCACGGCUCAACCGUGGAGGGUCAUUGGAAACUGGGGGACUUGAGUACAGAAGAGAAGAGUGGAAUUCCACGUGUAGCGGUGAAAUGCGUAGAGAUGUGGAGGAACACCAGUGGCGAAGGCGACUCUUUGGUCUGUAACUGACGCUGAGGCGCGAAAGCGUGGGGGGCAAACAGG